UAAUGCACUUGGUUGAACGUGCUUAACAGCAUGUUUGUAUGUUGCUGUUAUCACUUUGGUCAAAGUCAAGUGUCUGAGUUCAUUCUUCCAAUCAGGAUGGAAAGGAGGCGGGAUUUGGAAGAGAGCGAGGAAGAUUGAAAAUCAGUCGAGAGAGAGACGUGAGAGAAGCAGGAUAUUGUUUAGACAGCCAAGGAUUUUAGGCCAUAAAAUCCAAAACGGUUCCAGCGAUUAUCCUGAAGGAAAUAUAAGAAACAGUGUUUUAGACCAUAAAACGUAUAAGUUUCUUGAGUAUAGUCAGUAUUUCGUCAACAUAGAGGUAUUACUCGUGCCUUUAUAGAGUGAACGAGCGAAGAGUGUGACGCAGUAUUUAGUUUGGAGAAACUCGGGAUUUUAAGUCAUAAAAUCUUUUAUUGUUUCUAUCGAUAUUCAUGCAUGCAUUUGUCUAGCGAUACUACUCGUGCUGCUAGAGAGAAAGGAAGGAGAAAGAUUAUAAAGAUUCGUGAUUUUGAAUGAUUCAUUGAAGUGAACUGAUAGUUUAUCGUUUGACUGUUUCAACACGAGAAGAUGGAUGGAGGACGUCACCAGAUAGCCCUGUGAGUAGGCUACCGUGAACUCAACAGGUCCUCUGGCAUCGUUGGAUGACCAAUUCGACGCAUCACCAGAUAGCCCUGUGAGCGCCGUGAGCUCAACAGGUCCUCUGGCAUCGUUGGAUGACCAAUUUGACGCAUCACCAGAUAGCCCUGUGAGCGCCGUGAGCUCAACAGGUCCUCUGGCAUCGCAGGACGUCGCGUUUCACCUGAAGAGCUGAAUCAUCGUGCACCAACCCAAACAAUCUGAUCAGCGAGGUAACACAGACUUUUUAAAUUGCUCGGCUGAGCGAAGGGGCCUUUGUUUACUGGUCACAACGAUCGCUAAUCUCAAAUCAGGCCUGCAACGGGGUGGGUUUUAAAGGGAUUCGUGUGUGUGUGUGUAUGAGUGAGUGUGGAUCCACAAAAUUAGUUAAUCUGACCGGUCUUAAGUAUUUCACUGUGAUUUUCUUAUUUGAGCUGAUUUAUACUGUUAAAGUUAAGGGUUGUUAAAGUUUUGUACCAAGAGGAACACAAGUUGUUAGUAUAAGUUGAAGUGUUAUAAGUUAAUGCUAUAGAAAAGUAUUCACUUGAUGUGGAAAGGUAAAUUUCAGUUUGUGAGAUAAUUUAAAGUGAACGACA